GUGCUCCUACGGGAGGCAGCAGUGGGGAAUAUUGGGCAAUGGGCGCAAGCCUGACCCAGCAACGCCGCGUGAAGGAAGAAGGCCCUCGGGUUGUAAACUUCUUUUAUUCGGGACGAAACGAAUGACGGUACCGAAUGAAUAAGCCACGGCUAACUACGUGCCAGCAGCCGCGGUAAUACGUAGGUGGCAAGCGUUAUCCGGAUUUACUGGGUGUAAAGGGCGUGUAGGCGGGAGAGCCAGUCAGACGUGAACUUCCAUGGCUCAACCCUGGAACUGCGUUUG
rnacentral:rRNA from 1 species